UGGAACCUGUAGCACAGACAUGCUGGUCAGAGGAGACCUGCAGCCACAAUGUGAAGGUGGAUGAGGAUGACAUUGUAAAAGUCGCUACUGCAACUCAGUGCUGUGUGCUACACUCUGAUGCCGAUGUUGAGGCAGCUGCUUGUGAGCUGAACGCUUCUGUAAAACCAAAUGUGGACAACACAAAAGCUGAUGAGGGUUGUCCCGUUCUUUCAUUUGCUAGACUUGACGAGUGGGAUUUGGGUGAUGUCCUCCAAAAUCUGAAAAAAGACGGGUUGUCUCUGCAGCAGUGUGUGUCAGUCGAACCUGAAACAACAA